rnacentral:sRNA from 1 species
UGAUAUUAGUUGAUUUUCUUAGAAAGUGU